UGAGAAAAGCAGAAGUGAAAGCUUCUCGCCUUGCGACUAACGUUGUCUGGCUCUACAGGAAAAGAUUUCUUUUAAAGAAAGAUUAGAUGUGGAGAGCGGACUUGUGUAUACAGGUCCGCUUCGUUUUUCUCGA
rfam:Streptococcus sp. DD13 genomic scaffold scaffold00001, whole genome shotgun sequence.